rnacentral:rRNA from 1 species
UGGGGAAUAUUGCACAAUGGGGGAAACCCUGAUGCAGCGACGCCGCGUGAGCGAAGAAGGUUUUCGAAUCGUAAAGCUCUGUCCUAUGAGAAGAUAAUGACGGUAUCAUAGGAGGAAGCCCCGGCUAAAUACGUGCCAGCAGCCGCGGUAAUACGUAUGGGGCGAGCGUUGUCCGGAAUUAUUGGGCGUAAAGGUACGUAGGCGGUCUAUUAAGUCAGGUGUGAAAGCGUGAGGCUUAAACUCAUUAAGCACUUGAAACUGAUAGACUUGAGUGAAGGAGAGGAAAGUGGAAUUCCUAGUGUAGCGGUGAAAUGCGUAGAUAUUAGGAGGAAUACCGGUGGCGAAGGCGACUUUCUGGACUUUUACUGACGCUCAGGUACGAAAGCGUGGGGAGCAAACAGG